UUUAAUCCGGAUUUUAGGGUUGAUUUGAUGAAAGCUAAUUGCUAGUAUUAUUAUGUUUGAAUUUUUCAUGAUUUUGUUAAUUGUGAAUUUGUUUAAUUUUACAUGUAAUUUGUACAAUAUAGUUCGAUGAAAGUGAUUUAAUUUGAGUUAUAAGGUUGAUUUGAUGAAAAAUUGUACAGGCCAAUUUCGGGCCACCCCAAAACCCAAUAACUAACCUACCCUAAUCCAAAAACCCCUAACCCAAUAAGCCCAUUAAACAAAACAGGCCCAAACCUUAGCCCAACUACCCAAAACCCAACACUUGACCCAGGCCCAGAAGCCCAAACUCCAGACUUAGGGUUUCAGAAACCUUAGCCUACUCAGCCGCAACCUUCCCCACUUGUACUUAGCCCCAUACACUGCUCCACUAUAGCAGCCCCAUACCCCCACGCGUCUGACACCAUCUGCCGCCGCAUGCUCCUCCUCCACCACCAGCUCCUCCAUACCCUGCAAAGACAGAAGCAGACCAAACAGAAUGGGACAAAAGAUAAACAAUAUUUUCCUAGUUUUGUAGUCGGCUAUAAAGCUGAGAAAUAAACAUUUGUAAAAGGGGGAAUUUUUGCUAUGAAAACAAAGAUUUUCUUUCAAUAUUAACAGAUUAAAUACAAGAACCAUUCGAAAAUACAUAUACAAUCAGGGGCUCUAACACCAAAUCGGAGAAUCAAAUCUAAAACCUAAGGUGACUUUUUUUUUCUUUUUUUUUUCUUUACUGUUUUGAGUUUGUUUUUUACAUAAAAAUACUAAAAAAUAUCAAAACAUAAAAACUAUUAAGCAUAAAAAAAUAGAAAAAAAUAAAAAAAAUAUAUUUUUUACCUUUUCCGGCCAUCGCGUGCGGUGGACGGCGCCGGCGCCGGCGAGCCUCCGGUGGCCGUCCGGUGACCGGCCCCUGGCCGGAUUCCCCUCUCUUCUCUCUCCCUUCUCUCUUCCCUCUCUCUUCUUUUUUUUCUUUCCCUCUCCCC
rnacentral:lncRNA from 1 species